AUUGAACGCUGGCGGCAGGCCUAACACAUGCAAGUCGAGCGGAGCGGCGGGCGGGUGGGUGAUGACUAGGAAUCUGCCUGGUCGUGGGGGAUAACGUCCGGCAACGGGCGCUAAUACCGCAUACUCGCAAAUGAGCCUAGGUGGGAUUAGCUAGUUGGUGGGGUAAAGGCCCACCAAGGCGACGAUCCGUAACUGGUCUGAGAGGAUGAUCAGUCACACUGGAACUGAGACACGGUCCAGACUCCUACGGGAGGCAGCAGUGGGGAAUAUUGGACAAUGGGCGAAAGCCUGAUCCAGCCAUGCCGCGUGUGUGAAGAAGGUCUUCGGAUUGUAAAGUACUUUAAGUUGGGAGGCGUUACCAACAGAAUAAGCACCGGCUAACUUCGUGCCAGCAGCCGCGGUAAUUC
rnacentral:rRNA from 1 species